GGGGAAUAUUGCACAAUGGGCGCAAGCCUGAUGCAGCAACGCCGCGUGAGUGAAGAAGUAUUUCGGUAUGUAAAGCUCUAUCGGCAGGGAAGAAAGGCCCGAAAGGGAGAUGACGGUACCUGACUAAGAAGCCCCGGCUAACUACGUGCCAGCAGCCGCGGUAAUACGUAGGGGGCGAGCGUUAUCCGGAUUUACUGGGUGUAAAGGGAGCGCAGACGGCAGUGCAAGUCUGAUGUGAAAGCCCGGGGCUCAACCCCGGAACUGCAUUGGAAACUGUACAGCUUGAGUGUCGGAGAGGUAAGCGGAAUUCCUAGUGUAGCGGUGAAAUGCGUAGAUAUUAGGAGGAACACCGGUGGCGGAGGCGGCUUACUGGACGAUGACUGACGUUGAGGCUCGAAAGCGUGGGGAGCAAAC
rnacentral:rRNA from 1 species